AAAUACAUAAAAGUGAAAAAACAAGGAGGAGGGGGUGCAAAAGAUAAUACUGUGAUAUACUUAUAAUCAGUAAGUCUCUGGAUCAGCCAAGAGCAGAAGGAAGGCUCCAUAGACGAAACGUUGGGGUUAUUCAUUUCUCCUUCUCCUGGCUGAUCCAGAGACUUACUGAUUAUAAGUAUAUCCCAGUAUUAUCUUUUGCACCCCCCUCCUCCUUGUUUUUUUCACUUUUAAGC